UCAAUCAAAGCUAUAGUCUUUUAUGCCUACGGUACCUCAUUCCCGUUUUUGCCGCAUGAUCCAUUAAAAAGUUUUCUUCUAUACGAAACCAUUUUUUGGAGCAUGCAGAAAAAACAGAAACAAGGAGCGUAUGAACAACUUUCAAAAGAAUGAGUUGUAUCCUUU
rnacentral:miRNA from 1 species